GUCGCCGGAGUCGAGUAUGAGGUGUUACUAAGCUUAAUUUAACAUAUUUAGAACUUUGGAUUAUUUAUUUCUACAUUCACAGCUUUUAAGCUACUUGCAUCACAGUCACAAGAAAAAUCAUAUCUCGAGUUACAAAACUCGAAAUCAAGAUCCGUAAAUUUUCCCUAAAUCUAGACUCAUAUACCUAUCUACUAAUUUUUUUCUAGAAUUUUUGGUUGGACCAAUUAGUACAGUUUAUUAGUUAAAGUUACCCCUAUUUCAGGACUUGACUGGUCUGACCUCUGUUUACUACGAACCACAUUUCUCUCUGUAAAACAUCCAUAUGACUAUGAGG
rnacentral:lncRNA from 1 species